rnacentral:rRNA from 1 species
UGGUGGAGUGAUUUGUCUGGUUAAUUCCGAUAACGAACGAGACCUUAACCUGCUAAAUAGUAGCCUGAUCUCUUGAUCAUGGCCGACUUCUUAGAGGGACUAUCGACGUUUAGUCGAUGGAAGUUUGAGGCAAUAACA